rnacentral:rRNA from 1 species
AUUGAACGCUGGCGGAAUGCUUUACACAUGCAAGUCGAGCGGCAGCGCGGCCUUCGGGCUGGCGGCGAGCGGCGAACGGGUGAGUAAUGCAUCGGAACAUGCCCAGUCGUGGGGGAUAACACUUCGAAAGAAGUGCUAAUACCGCAUACGUCCUGAGGGGGAAAGCGGGGGAUCGCAAGACCUCGCGCGAUUGGAGUGGCCGAUGUCAGAUUAGCUAGUUGGUGGGGUAAAGGCCUACCAAGGCGACGAUCUGUAGCUGGUCUGAGAGGAUGAUCAGCCACACUGGGACUGAGACACGGCCCAGACUCCUACGGGAGGCAGCAGUGGGGAAUUUUGGACAAUGGGGGCAACCCUGAUCCAGCCAUUCCGCGUGAGUGAAGAAGGCCUUCGGGUUGUAAAGCUCUUUAGGCAGGAACGAAACGGUGGGCUCUAACAUAGUCCGCUAAUGACGGUACCUGAAGAAGAAGCACCGGCUAACUACGUG